GGAUCCUUGCUUGGGCAACGACGACCUCCCAAUCAUGCCUUUUCAUUCUUGGUUCAAGUGCGACGUUAGUCUUGGCCGUUCGUCGGGUUUCCUGUGUUGCAUACCUAGUGCGAUGGUAUUCGUUUGUCAAAAUUGUCCCUCGUUCGUCAUGUGAUGCCCGUUUGACGUGCGCAUCACCGAUGAACCACGAAGCGCUCGUCGCGGUCCACUUCGCCCGCGUUAUCCGUGUGUCGUACGUGGCUCGUGACGAGUUGCUUGUGCUCUCGGAUGCAGAAAUCGUUGAGGGUACGGGGCUAUAGCCCCUCUCUACCCGAAACAACGCGUUCACCGCUAACUAGCGUACGACUGUCGUGGUCGUCUUGGGCUG
rnacentral:misc_RNA from 1 species